AUUUAUAUAGUUUAACAAAAACAUUACACUUUCACUGUAAAAAUAAAGAAAACUUUUAUAAAUA
rnacentral:tRNA from 1 species